CCACUUACCUGGACGUGGUCGAUGGAGGAUCAUCAAGAUUCAUGGUCUAGGUAAGCGACCUCCAUUGCACUUGGGAGUGGAGCUUGUCUAUGGUCUCCCCAUAGUUGGGAGAGCCUACGUCAUAAUUUGUGGUAGUGGGGGCCUGUGUUCGCGUGGCCCCCGU